AGAGGGGGGAGUGGAAUUUUUGGUCUGGCACCUUAUCAUAUAUUUAUUGAAUAACAAUUAUUCAUCCAUUUAAAUCCCCCUCUCUCACGCAUUAAAACCCUUUCCCUCGCUUGCCAUUAAACAUAUCAGACCCUUCUUCAACUUCAUCACUCUCUCUUUCAUUUCAAAACCCUUCUUUUCUUUUUCCAUUUUCCAUGGUUGAUUCCCUUAUCAUAUAUUUAUUGAAUAACAAGUUUUGGUUUUUUGGAGAUCGUCGGUCAAUUCCUUCUUCAUUUUGGCGAUUUUAUCUUCCUCAUUUCCAGCGAUGUCGAUUGCUCUUGAGGGUGGCCACCAAGAGGUCUUCCAGAUUCUUCUUAACUCUGUAAGCGGUUGGUGCACCUUGGUCAGACUAAAUUCUUUGCUAGUCAUGACAUGGCACAACAUUCAAGGAAGUUUGAAUUUAUAUCAUAAAAAAAUUUAAAAUUUCCAUUCAUAUUCCGUGAUGAUAUAAACAAUGAACAUGUAAAAACAAAGAUAUCCAAAUCACAAUCGAUCAAUAAGUAAGUAAUUUGACCAAUCAAAUCUGCAAGCAGUGCAUACAAGCAAGUUUUAUACGUUAUCAUGAAAACUACACCUUUUUCAUUGAUAUUA